AUUGAACGCUGGCGGCAGGCCUAACACAUGCCAGUCGAGCGGAUGAAGGGAGCUUGCUCCUGGAUUCAGCGGCGGACGGGUGAGUAAUGCCUAGGAAUCUGCCUGGUAGUGGGGGAUAACGUCCGGAAACGGGCGCUAAUACCGCAUACGUCCUGAGGGAGAAAGUGGGGGAUCUUCAGACCUCACGCUAUCAGAUGAGCCUAGGUCGGAUUAGCUAGUUGGUGGGGUAAAGGCCUACCAAGGCGACGAUCCGUAACUGGUCUGAGAGGAUGAUCAGUCACACUGGAACUGAGACACGGUCCAGACUCCUACGGGAGGCAGCAGUGGGGAAUAUUGGACAAUGGGCGAAAGCCUGAUCCAGCCAUGCCGCGUGUGUGAAGAAGGUCUUCGGAUUGUAAAGCACUUUAAGUUGGGAGGAAGGGCAGUAAGUUAAUACCUUGCUGUUUUGACGUUACCAACAGAAUAAGCACCGGCUAACUUCGU
rnacentral:rRNA from 1 species